AGUUUUUAACCAGCCACUGCAGGAUAGGAAGUAAUCCUGGAGGGGGUGCAAUCGCCAUUGACCACGACCGGCCACAGUGUGCUGUAUAGGAGUUAACUGAGACUGAUUAUGUAAAGUGCCUUACAUAGUGCCUGUUUACAUAGGGGGCAUCUCGUAAAUGUUAUCUCUUGUUAUCAUUUUGCCAAAGAAGACCUGUCAUGGUAGUUCUGAUGGUGAUUGCUACACACAGUUUCCUGAGUGCUAUGGUGGGUGUAAGUAUCCAUCCAGUUCAAUCCAACAGCCUCAUACAGUGGGACUCUGUUAUUUUUGGUACAGGGUAGUGACAGAGUCCGCAUCCCUCUUUGUGUUCCACAUUCCUGGAUUUUUUUUUUUUCAGAUGACUGAAAAUGAAGGCGAUAAUCCACUUCCUGCCUUCUGAUGGGAUGCUGAACACGCAAUGGGUUGCAGGAUAGCCUAGCUUCCUUGAAUGCAUGGGCUUGCGGUUUAGACAAGUUUUGUGAAGUCAUUGUAUAGAUAUUGGCCAAGGCACACCGUUUGCAGGUGCUUCAUCUGAUGGCUCUGAGGCUGGGGCUUGUAGGUGUGUGUGGCACAUGCCCAUUUCAGCACCUACAUUCUCCCCGCAUUUCCAACACCUGACUUCUUCCCCCAGAGGCCAUUUCUGGUUCUUCCUCUUCUUCAGGCAAAUCCUCUCCUAUGCUAGGCCAUAUAUAUCAAGGGUAGUCAGGCUCUUGAGGAAUUUUCUGCUUACGUAAGGCAACAGUUAUGAUGCUUUCGAACAAAAUAGAGGGAACAAGCACUGUUGUGAUUGGAAGUCACAGAACAUGCCUUACAGUAUAAAAAAAAAAUACAAACUGAGAUUUGAAAGCAAAAUGGGAGUUUUCCAAGUCAAGUGAACUUAGGAAUCAGUAUAAUCCAUGGAAAGAAAGGCAUGUACUAAAAACAUGCCUCCCCACAGAUUAGUGGUUAUAAAGAUAGAUAGGUGAACCUGAAGUCUAAUUUCUGUUCUCCUGAUUAUUGGAAGUGCACUGAAAUCCAAUUUGACCUCCAGAAAGGCAUUGUUUGCCCUGAAUAUGGUACUUGCAUUGUCAGUCUGGGUGCUCUGAGGUCCAUGGACAAGCUGUAAACAGGACCUGGCUGCUGGGAUGAUAAGAGAAUCGAGUCUGGACCAGCCUUUGUCAGACAAGAGUGAAGUGUGCCUUGCUGCUGGAUGCUGCCUACCUCUACCAGAGGACAGCAGGUUGGAGGAGGGCUGUCAGAGGCCACCCUAGAAGAAAGGAGCCCAGAGAGAUGGUGUCAAAGAGUUCCCUACAGUGACAAUUUCUUAUUGUCAUCCUUUGACUUGUUUACUUUCAGCUUCUUGAGCCCCUGCUGGGCCACUCUGUGGACAGCACCUUUCCCCCCCACUCCUAGAGCCCAGGCAGCUCUCCAGGGGCUCAGCUCCCUCAGUUCUGGAAGGAAGCAUCUGACAGGGAGAAAAGGAGAAAAGAAGGGCUUGUCUAGUUGUCUCUUCUACCCAGGAGAAUGCUGAG
rnacentral:lncRNA from 1 species